rnacentral:rRNA from 1 species
CUUAUGUUGCCAGCAUGUUAUGGUGGGGACUCAUGAGAGACUGCCGGGGUUAACUCGGAGGAAGGUGGGGAUGACGUCAAAUCAUCAUGCCCCUUAUGUCCAGGGCUUCACACAUGCUACAAUGGUCGGUACAACGCGCUGCGAGCCUGUGAGGGUGAGCGAAUCGCUGAAAGCCGGCCUCAGUUCGGAUUGGGGUCUGCAACUCGACCCCAUGAAGUCGGAGUCGCUAGUAAUCGCAGGUCAGCAACGCUGCGGUGAAUACGUUCCCGGGCCUUGUACACACCGCCCGUCACGUCAUGAAAGUUGGUAACACCCGAAGCCAGUGGCCUAACCUUUGUGGGAGGAGCUGUCGAAGGUGGGAUCGGCGAUUGGGACGAAGUCGUAACAAGGUAGCCGUACCGGAAGGUGCGGCUGGAUCACCUCCUUAAUCACUAGUGAAUUC